AUUGAACGCUGGCGGCAGGCCUAACACAUGCAAGUCGAACGAGUGGCGGACGGGUGAGUAAUGUCUGGGAAACUGCCCGAUGGAGGGGGAUAACUACUGGAACCGGUAGCUAAUACCGCAUACCAUCGGAUGUGCCCAGAUGGGAUUAGCUAGAAGGUGGGGUAAUGGCUCAACUAGGCGACGAUCCCUAGCUGGUCUGAGAGGAUGACCAGCCACGCGGGAAUGGAUACACGGUCCAGACUCCUACGGGAGGCAGCAGUGGGGAAUAUUGCACAAUGGGCGCAAGCCUGAUGCAGCCAUGCCGCGUGUAUGAAGAAGGCCUUCGGGUUGUAAAGUACUUUCGGCGGGGAGGCGUUACUCGAAGAAGAAGCACCGGCUAACUCCGUGCCAGCAGCCGCGGUAAUAC
rnacentral:rRNA from 1 species